rnacentral:rRNA from 1 species
UACGAAGGGUGCAAACGUUGCUCGGAAUUAUUGGGCGUAAAGCGCACGUAGGCGGCUUUGUAAGUCGGAUGUGAAAAUCCCCUCGGCUUAACCAAGGAAGUGCAUCCGAAACUACAGAGCUUGAGUACUUAAGAGGAUCGCGGAAUUCCCGGUGUAGAGGUGAAAUUCGUAGAUAUCGGGAGGAACACCAGUGGCGAAGGCGGCGAUCUGGGAAGAUACUGACGCUGAGGUGCGAAAGCGUGGGGAGCGAACAGG